UUGUCGGUAAGGUAAAAGCUUACCAAGGCUUCGAUCAGUAGCUGGUCUGAGAGGACGACCAGCCACACUGGGACUGAGACACGGCCCAGACUCCUACGGGAGGCAGCAGUGGGGAAUUUUGGACAAUGGGGGCAACCCUGAUCCAGCCAUGCCGCGUGAGUGAAGAAGGCCUUCGGGUUGUAAAGCUCUUUCAGCCGGAACGAAACGGUUACGGAUAACACCCGUGACUACUGACGGUACCGGAAGAAGAAGCACCGGCUAACUACGUGCCAGCAGCCGCGGUAAUACGUAGGGUGCGAGCGUUAAUCGGAAUUACUGGGCGUAAAGCGUGCGCAGGUGGUUUUGUAAGUCAGAUGUGAAAGCCCCGGGCUCAACCUGGGAACUGCGUUUGAAACUACAAGACUAGAGUGUGGCAGAGGGGGGUGGAAUUCCGCGUGUAGCAGUGAAAUGCGUAGAGAUGUGGAGGAACACCGAUGGCGAAGGCAGCCCCCUGGGUCAACACUGACGCUCAGGCACGAAAGCAUGGGGAGCAAACAGGAUUAGAUACCCUGGUAGUCCAUGCCCUAAACGAUGUCAACUAGUUGUCGGGCCUUUACGGGCUUGGUAACGUAGCUAACGCGUGAAGUUGACCGCCUGGGGAGUACGAUCGCAAGAUUAAAACUCAAAUGAAUUGACGGGGACCCGCACAAGCGGUGGAUUAUGUGGAUUAAUUCGAUGCAACGCGAAAAACCUUACCUACCCUUGACAUGUAUCGAAGCCCGCAGAAAAGCGGGGGUGCCCGAAAGGGAACGAUAACACAGGUGCUGCAUGGCUGUCGUCAGCUCGUGUCGUGAGAUGUUGGGUUAAGUCCCGCAACGAGCGCAACCCUUGUCAUUAAUUGCCAUCAUUUAGUUGGGCACUUUAAUGAGACUGCCGG
rnacentral:rRNA from 1 species